rnacentral:lncRNA from 1 species
CUUCCUGGUUACUUCAGCCACCUGAGACCUCUUCACCAGGGCCCUGUGACCUGCCCAUUGAAAAUUCCUGGACAAACAUGAAUGGAUAUCAACUGAAAAUGGUGCUGGAACAGUGGGAAUCGUCAUGCACAGGAAGCAUUGGGAGAUGUAGUUUACUCUAAGCUUCCAGAAGUUUGGAACAAAAUCGAACAAACUAGAUACAUUUGGAACUUUGGAAAGUGUGAACUCUAUUGUCCAGUGCUAUUGUCUACCAACAGGAAGUAACUGAAAUGACUGUUGCUCUUGCAGAAGUUCCAGAACUUUUCAAAAAAUCUUGUUAGGAAGUUGAUGGGUUAAUCAAAAUGGCUCUGAGCAGCCCUUCAGAACUGGAUGAACUGAUGCCGGAGGACUCAUAGGAGAGGUUUACUUCACUCAUUGGUUGAAUAAUUUGGAAGACAUAUCAUGAAAUGUGAAGCAGUGGAUAGUAUUGGAAGUAGAGUAAAUAAAGUGAUGGGCCUGGAAUCAAAACACCUGAGUUUAAAUCCAUCCUUGGAGAUAUAAUGAUUGUGUAUCACUGGGCGAGUCAUUUAGCACUUCCUUGCACAGAAUAGGAGCUUAAUAAGAAUUUUUUUCUUCCUCUGUUGUUAUAAGUAUAUUGAAAUACCCUUCUCUAUUGAGCAAAUUAUCUCUUUCAAGUUCUCAAAGGUAAAAAAUGUAAGUAAAUAAUUCUAUUAUUUUCUAGUUGUAAACAGCCUCCAUAAGUGACUCCACUAACAACAAAUAUAUAAUUAUAUCACAGUAUGAGAUAUAAUAAUAAUACAAUUUUCCUCAUAACAAUCUGGGGAAAAGGAUGCAGCCCCUUUAAAGUCAGAGAGCAGGGAAAUCUGAUC